rnacentral:ncRNA from 1 species
AUGUGUUUCCAAAGGAGAGAUUUUUAUCAUCUCCCUGGAUAAGGAUGAGAUAUAACUAAAUACUAGAAUAUUUUU